rnacentral:rRNA from 1 species
AUGACCCAAAUUAUGUUAGUGUCGGUACGUUUAGUUGGUGAUGGUUUAGCGGGAGCGAGAGCUGCAUCUGUAACUUACGUAACUUACCCAUUGGAUGUUGUUCGAACUCGCUUGGCAACACAGGAGGGUGAGGCAGUGUCAAAGCUACUUAGCAUUCUAAGAUUGUGA